rnacentral:rRNA from 1 species
GCAGCUUGCUGGACUGUAACUGACGNUGAGGCACGAAAGCGUGGGGAUCAAACAGGAUUAGAUACCCUGGUAGNCCACGCCGUAAACGAUGANUGCUAGCUGUUAGCGAUAUACUGUUAGCGGCACAGAGAAAUCGUUAAGCAUUCCACCUGGGGAGUACGCCGGCAACGGUGAAACUCAAAGGAAUUGACGGGGGCCCGCACAAGCGGAGGAACAUGUGGUUUAAUUCGAUGAUACGCGAGGAACCUUACCUGGGCUUAAAUUGCAGUGGAAUAACGUGGAAACAUGUUAGCCUUCGGGCCGCUGUGAAGGUGCUGCAUGGUUGUCGUCAGCUCGUGCCGUGAGGUGUCGGCUUAAGUGCCAUAACGAGCGCAACCCUCAUCGAUAGUUACUAACAGGUUAAGCUGAGGACUCUAUCGAGACUGCCGACGUAAGUCGUGAGGAAGGUGGGGAUGACGUCAAAUCAGCACGGCCCUUACGUCCAGGGCUACACACGUGUUACAAUGGGGGGUACAAAGGGCAGCUACCUGGCGACAGGAUGCUAAUCUCUAAAACCUCUCUCAGUUCGGAUUGGAGUCUGCAACCCGACUCCAUGAAGCUGGAUUCGCUAGUAAUCGCGCAUCAGCCACGGCGCGGUGAAUACGUUCCCGGGCCUUGUACACACCGCCCGUCAAGCCAUGGGAGCCGGGGGGACCUGAAGUAUGCAACCGUAAGGAGCGUCCUAGGGUAAAACUGGUGACUGGGGCU